rnacentral:rRNA from 1 species
UUACGAGUUACAACUCCCAACACCCCUGUGAACAUACCAAUUGUUGCCUCGGCGGAUCAGUCACGCUCCCGGUAAAACGGGACGGCCCGCCAGAGGACCCCUAAACUCUGUUUCUAUAUGUAACUUCUGAGUAAAACCAUAAAUAAAUCAAAACUUUCAACAACGGAUCUCUUGGUUCUGGCAUCGAUGAAGAACGCAGCAAAAUGCGAUAAGUAAUGUGAAUUGGCAGAAUUCAGUGAAUCAUCGAAUCUUUGAACGCACAUUGCGCCCGCCAGUAUUCUGGCGGGCAUGCCUGUUCGAGCGUCAUUUCAACCCUCAAGCCCCCGGGUUUAGGUGUUGGGGAUCGGCGAGCCCUUGCGGCAAGCCGGCCCCGAAAUCUAGUGGCGGUCUCGCUGCAGCUUCCAUUGCGUAGUAGUAAAACCCUCGCAACUGGUACGCGGCAGCGGCCAAGCCGUUGAAACCCCCAAAUUCUGAAUGUGACCUCGGAUCAGGUAGGAAUACCCAGAUGAACUUAAGCAUAUCAAUAA